rnacentral:rRNA from 1 species
GAUGAACGCUAGCGAUAGGCCUAACACAUGCAAGUCGAGGGGCAUCACAUGAGGCAGCAAUGCCGAUGGUGGCGACCGGCGCACGGGUGAGUAACACGUAUGCAACCUGCCUUCAACAAGGGGAUAACCCGUUGAAAAACGGACUAAUACCCUAUAACACAGGGGUCCCGCAUGGGAAUAUUUGUUAAAGAUUGAUCGGUUAAAGAUGGGCAUGCGUUCCAUUAGCUGGUUGGUGAGGUAACGGCUCACCAAGGCAACGAUGGAUAGGGGAACUGAGAGGUUUAUCCCCCACACUGGUACUGAGACACGGACCAGACUCCUACGGGAGGCAGCAGUGAGGAAUAUUGGUCAAUGGACGCAAGUCUGAACCAGCCACGUCGCGUGAAGGAAGACGGCCCUACGGGUUGUAAACUUCUUUUGCAAGGGAAUAAAGUGGGCCACGUGUGGCCUUUUGCAAGUACCUUGCGAAUAAGGAUCGGCUAACU